UGCAGUCGAACGAACCCUUCGGGGUUAGUGGCGCACGGGUGCGUAACGCGUGGGAACCUGCCCUUAGGUUCGGAAUAACUCAGAGAAAUUUGAGCUAAUACCGGAUAAUGUCUUCGGACCAAAGAUUUAUCGCCUUUGGAUGGGCCCGCGUUGGAUUAGCUAGUUGGUGGGGUAAAGGCCUACCAAGGCGACGAUCCAUAGCUGGUCUGAGAGGAUGAUCAGCCACACUGGGACUGAGACACGGCCCAGACUCCUACGGGAGGCAGCAGUGGGGAAUAUUGGACAAUGGGCGAAAGCCUGAUCCAGCAAUGCCGCGUGAGUGAUGAAGGCCUUAGGGUUGUAAAGCUCUUUUACCAGGGAUGAUAAUGACAGUACCUGGAGAAUAAGCUCCGGCUAACUCCGUGCCAGCAGCCGCGGUAAUACGGAGGGAGCUAGCGUUGUUCGGAAUUACUGGGCGUAAAGCGCGCGUAGGCGGCAUGGCAAGUCAGGGGUGAAAUCCCGGGGCUCAACCCCGGAACUGCCCUUGAAACUGCCAAGCUAGAAUCCUGGAGAGGCGAGUGGAAUUCCGAGUGUAGAGGUGAAAUUCGUAGAUAUUCGGAAGAACACCAGUGGCGAAGGCGACUCGCUGGACAGGUAUUGACGCUGAGGU
rnacentral:rRNA from 2 species